GCUUACGGCCAUACCACCCUGUCUGUGCCUGAUCUCAGAAGCUAAGCAGUUUCGGGCCUGGUUAGUACUUGGAUGGGAAACUGCCUGGGAAUACCAAGUGCUGUAAGCU
rnacentral:rRNA from 1 species